GGAGUUUGGACCGUGUCUCAGUUCCAAUGUGGGGGACCUUCCUCUCAGAACCCCUACUGAUCGAUGGCUCGGUGGGCCGUUACCCCGCCGACUACCUAAUCAGACGCAUCCCCAUCCCAUAGCGGUGAACCUUUGUUCCGAAUCAGAUGUCAUCCUCGGAAUACAUAGGGUAUUAAUCCGCAUUUCUACGGGCUAUGCCCUACUAUGGGGAAGGUUGGAUACGCGUUACUCACCCGUGCGCCGGUCGCCAUCUAUCAAAGCAAGCUUCGAUAAUGCUGCCCCUCGACUUGCAUGUGUUAAGCCUGUAGCUAGCGUUCAUC
rnacentral:rRNA from 1 species